rnacentral:rRNA from 1 species
GACGAACGCUGGCGGCAUGCCUAAUACAUGCAAGUCGAGCGAACAGAUGAAGUGCUUGCACUUCUGACGUUAGCGGCGAACGGGUGAGUAACACGUAAGGAAUCUACCUAUAAGCGGGGGAUAACAUUCGGAAACGGGUGCUAAUACCGCAUAAUAUCUUCUUCCGCAUGGAAGAAGAUUGAAAGACGGCUCUGCUGUCACUUAUAGAUGACCUUGCGGUGCAUUAGUUAGUUGGUGGGGUAAUGGCCUACCAAGACGAUGAUGCAUAGCCGACCUGAGAGGGUGAUCGGCCACAUUGGGACUGAGACGCGGCCCAAACUCCUACGGGAGGCAGCAGUAGGGAAUCUUCCGCAGUGGGCGAAAGCCUGACGGAGCAAUGCCGCGUGAGUGAAGAAGGCCUUCGGGUCGUAAAACUCUGUUAUAAGAGAAGAACAAAUUGUAGAGUAACUGCUACAGUCUUGACGGUAUCUUAUCAGAAAGCCACGGCUAACUACGUGCCAGCCGCCGCAGUAA